rnacentral:rRNA from 1 species
GACGAACGCUGGCGGCGUGCCUAAUACAUGCAAGUAGAACGCACAGUUUAUACCGUAGCUUGCUACACCAUAGACUGUGAGUUGCGAACGGGUGAGUAACGCGUAGGUAACCUGCCUGGUAGCGGGGGAUAUCUAUUGGAAACGAUAGCUAAUACCGCAUAAUGUUAAUUAUUGCAUGAUAAUUAAUUGAAAGGUGCAAUUGCACCACUACCAGAUGGACCUGCGUUGUAUUAGCUAGUAGGUGAGGUAACGGCUCACCUAGGCGACGAUACAUAGCCGACCUGAGAGGGGGAUCGGCCACACUGGGACUGAGACACGGCCCAGACUCCUACGGGAGGCAGCAGUAGGGAAUCUUCGGCAAUGGACGAAAGUCUGACCGAGCAACGCCGCGUGAGUGAAGAAGGUUUUCGGAUCGUAAAGCUCGGUUGUAAGAGAAGAACGGGUGUGAGAGUGGAAAGUUCACACUGUGACGGUAUCUUACCAGAAAGGGACGGCUAACUACGUG